GCUGUUACUCAUUCGGCUGGGGGUAGCAGCAUUAUUUGAAAAGAAGCCAAGAUUGAAGAGAUUGGUGUGGGAGGAGUUGUUGGAGGUGUUUUGAAGAUCAUGAAGUUGCAUUAGCCCAUGUAAGGAUUUAUUUGGAAAUGAACCUUGAUUUGCAUCUGAUAUGAAGAAACCAGAAGAAGGCAUCGUUGGCAAGGACGAAGAAUU
rnacentral:misc_RNA from 1 species